UUGUUCGCAAUGGGCGCAAGCCUGACGACGCAACGCCGCGUGGAGGAUGAAGAUCUUCGGGUCGUAAACUCCUUUCGAUCGAGACGAAUUCCCUUGGGGUGAACAAUCCCGAGGGUUGACGGUACCGAGAGAAGAAGCCCCGGCUAACUCCGUGCCAGCAGCCGCGGUAAUACGGGGGGGGCAAGCGUUGCCCGGAAUUACUGGGCGUAAAGGGCUCGUAGGCGGCCAACUAAGUCGGACGUGAAAUCCCUCGGCUUAACCGGGGAACUGCGUCCGAUACUGGAUGGCUUGAGUUCGGGAGAGGGAUGCGGAAUUCCAGGUGUAGCGGUGAAAUGCGUAGAUAUCUGGAGGAACACCGGUGGCGAAGGCGACAUCCUGGACCGACACUGACGCUAGAGCGAAG
rnacentral:rRNA from 1 species